rnacentral:rRNA from 1 species
AUUGAACGCUGGCGGCAUGCCUUACACAUGCAAGUCGAACGGCAGCACGGGAGCUUGCUCCUGGUGGCGAGUGGCGAACGGGUGAGUAAUACAUCGGAACGUACCCUGAAGUGGGGGAUAACGUAGCGAAAGUUACGCUAAUACCGCAUAUUCUGUGAGCAGGAAGGAGGGGGAUCGCAAGACCUCUUGCUUUAGGAGCGGCCGAUGUCGGAUUAGCUAGUUGGUGAGGUAAAGGCUCACCAAGGCGACGAUCCGUAGCGGGUCUGAGAGGAUGAUCCGCCACACUGGGACUGAGACACGGCCCAGACUCCUACGGGAGGCAGCAGUGGGGAAUUUUGGACAAUGGGCGCAAGCCUGAUCCAGCCAUGCCGCGUGAGUGAAGAAGGCCU